rnacentral:misc_RNA from 1 species
CCGAGUUAGGGUUUCGUCUGACGAGCCCGACCUCCCAACCCUUUGUCUAUUAUACCUUGUCGUUGCUUCGGUGGACCGGUCGCGACCAACUGGUCGUGACCGCCGGGGUCCCGUCCCUGGAGAGCGUCCGCCGACGGCCAACCACUAAACCCUGAAUCAACCGUGUCGUGUGUCUCAGUCCAUGAUUAAAUUAAAGCA